CCCUUAGAUGUUCUGGGCUGCACGCGCGCUACACUGUCGGAUUCAGCGAGUCAUAUCCUUAACCGAAAGGUUUGGGUAAUCUUUUGAAAGUCCGACGUGAUGGGGAUUGAUCAUUGCAAUUAUUGAUCAUGAACGAGGAAUUCCUAGUAAGCGCGAGUCAUCAGCUCGCGUUGAUUACGUCCCUGCCCUUUGUACGCACCGCCCGUCGCUACUACCGAUUGAAUGGUUUAGUGAGAUCUUCGGAUUGGCGCCUACGCGGCUUCUCUGAGGCCACGCUGGAUGCCGAAAAGUUGCUCAAACUGUAUCAUUUAGAGGAAGUAAAAGUCGUAACA
rnacentral:rRNA from 1 species